UGAUGAUUGAGGGGGAGCAGAGUGAGUAAUGCGGAGGAGCAGAGGUGUAUGCGUAUUGAUUGGGUUUGAAGGGUGCGUAGGUGAGGUGUGAAGUCAGCGGUGAAAGUUGGCAGCUUAACUGUAAGAAGGGCGUGUGAAGUGUCGGACUAUAGUGUAGAUGGUGUAGGCGGAAUGCGUGGUGUAGCGGUGAAAUGCAUAGAUAUCACGCAGAACUCCGAUUGCGAAGGCAGCUUACUAAGCUACAACUGACACUGAAGCACGAAAGCGUGGGGAUCAAACAGGAUUAGAACCCUAGUAGUG
rnacentral:rRNA from 1 species